GGCGAACGGGUGAGUAACGCGUGAACAACCUGACCCAAAGAGGGGGAUAACAUUUGGAAACAGAUGCUAAUACCGCAUAAGACCACAACGUCACAUGGCGAAGGGGUCAAAGGAGCAAUCCGCUUUGGGAGGGGUUCGCGUCCCAUUAGGUAGUAGCGGGGUAACAGCCCACCUAGCCAACGAUGGGUAGCCGAGCUGAGAGGCUGAUCGGCCACACUGGAACUGAGACACGGUCCAGACUCCUACGGGAGGCAGCAGUGGGGAAUAUUGGGCAAUGGGCGCAAGCCUGAACCCCCAGCAACGCCGCGUGAGGGAAGAAGGUUUUCGGAUUGUAAACCUCUGUCGCAGAAGACGAAGGAAGUGACGGUAUUCUGUGAGGAAGCCCCGGCUAACUACGUGCCAGCAGCCGC
rnacentral:rRNA from 1 species